rnacentral:lncRNA from 1 species
AAAAGUAUUUCAAUCGCCCCAAUAUAAGUGUGUGCAAUGUGUAGGUCCACAUUUAACUGUGGAAUGCAAAAAAUGAGUUUAAACUCGACGAACUUGUCUCCUAUGUGGCGACCACCAUAUCGCGAACUAUAAAGGGUGGCAUUGUUACCAAGAAUUGCUCAAGAAAAUUGCUCAAAGUUCUCGAGAUCCAAACUAAGGGAACAUCCAAACAUCCAAUCAAGCUUAAGGACCAACUAAGUCGGAAAUAAUCAACGUUUUAUCGAUCCAACAGUUUCUUAUGCACAAACUACGAAAGGAAAUAAUCGCUUCCCAAACAUCCCAAGUUCGUUAACUUCGGAUUUAGAAAAUAAAAACGAAAAUGCUUACACUUCUGAUAACGUUUACUACACGCAUCAUCCCAGUGGAAGGACACAUGUACGGUGAUUAUUAUUAAAUCUAAUAUAAAACAUUGUGAACUUGCACCCAUCAAACAAGACUAUGUUUAGUCAACAAGUGUUAUAAUAGACAACUGAUACAGUCCGCUCAAUAUCUCAAUAGUUCAUUGUCCUCCAAGACAUAAUAUUCAAAAA